rnacentral:tRNA from 1 species
GGGGUUGUGGCUCGGUGGUAGAGCGCUCGCCUGGCAGGCGUGAAGCACUAGGUGCAACCCCUAGCACUACA